rnacentral:lncRNA from 1 species
CAACAGAACCAUAACAAGUACUAUCUAUGUCACCACGACUAUGGCCACGACAUUGAAGACUGCAUUCAGCUUUGGAAUGAGAUAGAAGAGCUCUUUCGAUGUGGGUUCCUGGAUCAGUUUAUCAGGCAUCAUUAGGAGCAGCAAGAGGAAUGGCGGAGAUCAUCCAGCCCACCAGAACAAUGGCAAAGGGAAUCCUCUGGAGAUCAAUCUCGUGCAAAAGUAAUAAAUGCAAUAACUAGAGGGCAUCGGAGUAGAGCAGAGG